rnacentral:rRNA from 1 species
GUGGCAUCGAGUUGAUUCGUGCUCGGCCCGAUCCUCCCACCCUUUGUGUACCUACCUCUGUUGCUUUGGCGGGCCGCGGUCCUCCGCGGCCGCCCCCCUCCCCGGGGGGGUGGCCAGCGCCCGCCAGAGGACCAUCAAACUCCAGUCAGUAAACGAUGCAGUCUGAAAAACAUUUAAUAAACUAAAACUUUCAACAACGGAUCUCUUGGUUCUGGCAUCGAUGAAGAACGCAGCGAAAUGCGAUAAGUAAUGUGAAUUGCAGAAUUCAGUGAAUCAUCGAAUCUUUGAACGCACAUUGCGCCCUUUGGUAUUCCGAAGGGCAUGCCUGUUCGAGCGUCAUUACAACCCUCAAGCUCUGCUUGGUAUUGGGCACCGUCCUUUGCGGGCGCGCCUCAAAGACCUCGGCGGUGGCGUCUUGCCUCAAGCGUAGUAGAACAUACAUCUCGCUUCGGAGCGCAGGGCGUCGCCCGCCGGACGAACCUUCUGAACUUUUCUCAAGGUUGACCUCGGAUCAGGUAGGGAUACCCGCUGAACUUAAGCAUAUCAAUAAGCGGAGGAAG